UACGAAGGACCCAAGCGUUAUCCGGAUUUAUUGGGUUUAAAGGGUGCGUAGGCGGGUUAUUAAGUCAGUGGUGAAAGCUCUCGGCUCAACCGGGAAAUUGCCAUUGAUACUGAUGAUCUUGAGUAUGAUUGAGGUGGGCGGAAUGUGUCAUGUAGCGGUGAAAUGCUUAGAUAUGACACAGAACACCGAUUGCGAAGGCAGCUCACUAAGCCAUAACUGACGCUGAUGCACGAAAGCGUGGGGAGCGAACAGG
rnacentral:rRNA from 1 species